rnacentral:misc_RNA from 1 species
AAAAAGACUUAGCGAGUUCUUUGUGUUCUUUUUCUGUGUUUGUGUGUCUGUCCGUAUGAAUAUUUUGCAUUUUUUUCUGAAGUUGUGUGUGAGAAAUGAAGUCAGAAUUUGUGAAUAAUACAGAGAAGAAAUGUGUGAGCGUUGUUGUCUUAGGAGAUUUUGGAAGAAGUCCUCGAAUGCAAUAUCAUACUCUGUCGUUAUCCAAAAACAAUUUUCGGGUAGACGUGGUAGCUUACAAAGGAGCAGAACCCCAUAAAAGAAUUAUAAAUGAUCAGAAUGUUAGUUUUCAUUAUAUGAAAAAUAUACCACAAUGGAUUGAAUAUUCACCAGGACUUUUUCGGUAUAUUCUAAAGACAGUAUGGCAAAGUUUUUUCCUCUUUUGGACCUUAAUAAAUAUCUCUAAAAUAAACCAUAUUUUUCUGCAGAAUCCACCUGCUGUACCAACUCUACCUGUUAUUUGUUUUGUUUGUUGGCUUAGAAAUUGUUGUCUUGUCAUAGAUUUUCAUAAUUAUGGUUAUACAAUAUUAGGACUUUCUGCUGGAAAAGAAAGCUUCCUAGUCAAAAUUGCAAAAUGGUGUGAGAGAUAUUUCAGCCUUAAAGCAUGCCGAAGUAUAUGUGUGACCAAAGCCAUGAAGGAAGAUUUGAUGCAAAAUUGGAAUGUGCGAGCAUCUGUUUUUUAUGACUGUGCACCUGAUAUUUUCCAUCCAAUUUCAGAAGAAGAGAAGCAUAAAUUUUUUAUGAGACUUGGUGAAGAUUAUGGGCAGUUCCGAGCUAUACCUUCUAAUUCAAAUGGUGAAGAAGCUACAAGAUUUACCAAAAAAGAGGGUGACAAAUACGAAGUGUUGAAUAAUAGACCUGCUUUAAUUGUUAGCAGCACCAGUUGGACAGAGGAUGAAGAUUUUUCAAUACUUCUAUCAGCACUGGAAGAUUAUGAAGAAGCAUCUAAGCAAAUGAAAGAUUUGCCUGACUUACUUGUUGCCAUAACUGGAAAAGGGCCUUUGAAAAGUUAUUAUGAAAGACUGAUUGAAGAUAAAGGUUUUUCUCAUGUAGAAGUUAUGACUUUGUGGCUACAAUCAGAGGACUAUCCUACAUUUUUAGCUUGUGCUGAUUUGGGUGUCAGUCUACAUAAUUCUUCAAGUGGGUUUGAUCUUCCCAUGAAAGUGGUUGAUAUGUUUGGAUGCUGUUUACCUGUAUGUGCUUUUGAAUUUCAGUGCCUUCAUGAGCUAGUCAAAGAUGGUGUAUUUGGUAAAAUAUUUUCUAACAGUCGGCAGUUGAGUCUUCAGUUUCAGAUUCUGAUCAACAAUUUAAUAAUUUGAUUCUUAAAGACUAUGCAAUUACAGCUCAACAUACACGGACGUUUUAUCAUCGGGGAGUUGAGUAUUGUGACCGGUAUUCAGAGAAGCAUUCUUCUGAGCGAUAUCAGCACAAAUGCAGCUUAUGUGGGAAAAGAUUUACUCAGAAAGGAACACUAAAUAGACACAUGGCCACUCAUAACAAUGAACGACCUUUUGCAUGUGAUCUUUGCCCUAAACGUUUCAAUUAUCGAAGUGUUCUGACAAGUCAUCGAAAGUUGCAUCUCAGGGACCCUGAUUUAUGAUUUAAUGGCUUUUGAAUGUGUUCAUACUCUGUUUCAAGUAAAAAAGAGGGAUGACAGUAUCUGUCAAAAUGAAUAAUAUUUACUAGGGCCACAUUGCACUCACAGUUUCAAGAAAAAUUAACUUAAAAAUACAACCAGCAAGGACAAUUUGUCACAUCUGGCAUCAUUUGUGUCCUGCCAGAGAAGUUCUAGAUCGACAAAUACUAUUUGCUGUAUGCAGAUUUCCAGUGAAAAGCAGUAGCAAUAACAAUUGCAGUGAUUAUCUCAUCAAGGUUCCAUACAAAGCCAGCAGAAGCAAACAUUAUUCUGUCAAAGUGUUAAUCCUCAAGCUACAGACUGUUACCAUAAUGAGAUAUCUGAAACAACUUUGUGAAGGCCAUGGCAGAUUGCAUGUAUGAGGAACAUGCAAAAACUUUUUCUGGGGGGGGGAGUUGAACUUUGGCAUUUAACUUUACACCACUUUUCUGACUUUAUUAGUGGAAUAGGGUUGUAGGUUCCAUUUCAAGUACUGUUUGACUUGAUGGGUACUAUCAGUCCUCUUAUUUUGGAAAACAAUUUGCAGACACUCUAUAUGUAUGCAUAUUAUAACCCAAGUUCCUGUUUUAAUUACUUCUCUUUCAAUGUUUUCUGUUCAUUUUAAAUGUUAAUUAUUUCGUGGUGUCUAGAAUUUUUAUGUUUUCAAUAUAUAUAUAUAUAUAUAUGUACACGAGACCUGAAGUUUUAUAAAUACAAUUGUCAGUAUGUCAUAUGAAAAUAAAACGUUUGCUUCCAUUCUUUUAAA